GACAAACGCUGGCGGUAUGCCUAACACAUGCCAGUCGAACGGACAGAACAGGGAAGCUUUUCGGAGUGGAACUGGAAAGUUAGUGGCGGAUGGGUGAGUAACGCGUGGACAACCUACCUUGUAAAGGGGAAUAACCUCGAGAAAUCGAAGCUAAUACCCCAUAAUAACCUUGCUUCGCAUGAAGUAAGGAGGAAAGGCGGCCUUAGCGCUGUCGAUACAAGAUGGGUCCGCGUCUGAUUAGCUAGUUGGUGAGGUAAAGGCUCACCAAGGCGACGAUCAGUAGCCGGCCUGAGAGGGUGAACGGCCACAUUGGGACUGAGACACGGCCCAAACUCCUACGGGAGGCAGCAGUGGGGAAUCUUCCGCAAUGGGCGAAAGCCUGACGGAGCAAUGCCGCGUGAGUGAAGAAGGCCUUCGGGUUGUAAAACUCUGUCCUUAUCGAAGAGAGAGUGUUGUAGUAACUGACAAUACUAGGACGGUAGAUGAGGAGGAAGCCCCGGCUAACUAUGUG
rnacentral:rRNA from 1 species